CCUACGGGCGGCAGCAGUGAGGAAUAUUGGUCAAUGGGCGCGAGCCUGAACCAGCCAAGUAGCGUGAAGGAUGACUGCCCUACGGGUUGUAAACUUCUUUUAUAAAGGAAUAAAGUGAGGCACGUGUGCCUUUUUGUAUGUACUUUAUGAAUAAGGAUCGGCUAACUCCGUGCCAGCAGCCGCGGUAAUACGGAGAAUCCGAGCGUUAUCCGGAUUUAUUGGGGUUAAAGGGAGCGUAGAUGGGUUGUUAAGUCAGUUGUGAAAGUUUGCGGCUCAACCGUAAAAUUGCAAUUGAUACUGGCAGGCUUGAGUACAGUUGAGGUAGGCGGAAUUCGUGGUGUAGCGGUGAAAUGCUUAGAUAUCACGAAGAACUCCGAUUGCGAAGGCAGCUUACUAAACUGCCACUGACAUUGAGGCGCGAAAGUGUGGGUAUCAAACAGGAUUAGAGACCCGUGUAGUC
rnacentral:rRNA from 1 species